GUAUGCAAAACAUAUCAUCUCAAAAGCAUGCACUUAGUAUUAUAUUCAAUCUUAUAAACUUAUAUAUGACUUUCUUCAGCAGUAGUUAAUUUGAGAGAAUUUUUAUGCUGAUGAUAAUCCAUCUAUUAAAGUUUCAAGCUUCAUAGGACAGCACAAUGGAGGCAUUUAACCUCUCUCCACAUCAACUUCUUCAUCUCCCACUUGUCCCCUCACCCUUCUCCUGUUAACAUGUGGGUGGAGAGUUUUCAAAGACGACGACUUCUUCUAGCUCAAAUAAUGUGCAGCAAUUACAAGAAAAUUGAGAUUAGAGAACAGAGAUUUCGCAAAAUAAUUAACCUAAUUAUUUUUAUGUGAAACCUCAGACAUUGUAAAGAGCUGAGCUGCACGCUUGCUUCUUUUAUUGUCAUCAAAAUAUGCAAUUCUAUCAAAUCUCAUGUCUCAAUACAUGAACUCUUGAUUUGAAGAGUUCU